GUGAGGAGGGGGAACACACUACAGUUUACAUUGUGCUUUGGUGGGAAAGGAUCUAGAAACUCUAGUCUAGUGUUCAGAUUCAGAUUAUGUAUUAGCCAACUUCUUUCUCUCCAGCAGAUAAGUGCCCUGGAUAUCUAGAAGUGUGAUGACACAGAGCAGAGCCCACUGAGGAAAGCCAGAUCUGUAUUCAACUACAUGAACAAGCAAAUUGGUGAUGCUGGGUAAGUUCUUCCUGCUUUCAGUGUUUGAAUUGCCUUGAAAGAUUUGUGUUUACUUUUCAUCAGCUCCCUUUCCUUUGUAAGACUUUUGUUAUUUUCCAGCUCAACCCCUAAAUACCAACUUGUGCUGCUUAUAAUUUACUUACCAAGCUUGCUGCCGUGGAGAAUCAAGAGUGUGUGCUGUGCAAGGGACGAUGAGAAGGCAGCAGCAUUGUCCUCAUCACCAAAGGCCAUAGUCCUGCAGCACCUGAACAAGAGGAGCAGAGCAGAUCAUCACCCAAGUCCCAAGACCAGGACAAGACCAUAACUGCUGCAGCCAGUGCUGGAAGCACAGUGUGCUGUGCCACCAAAAGUCUGUUGGAGUUCUGUUUUGUUGCCUCUUGAAAAAAAAGUACUUAAACUCACAAUAUGGAUUUGCACUUCAAAUAUGGGAAGAAGCAUGUGCACUUCAGGAUCUCAGAGGAGAACACGUCUACGAAGUAUCUAAAUGAAAACUUCUGACCCAGAUGCCAAUGCAGUACACCAUAAUGUCAUAUGCUUGGAUACUGUAAAAAAUAAAAUAAAAACUUGGUAUAAGACUAUAUUGGAA
rnacentral:lncRNA from 1 species